rnacentral:rRNA from 1 species
UACGUAGGUGGCAAGCGUUGUCCGGAAUUAUUGGGCGUAAAGCGCGCGCAGGCGGGCUUUUAAGCCAGACGUGAAAUCCCCGGGCUCAACCUGGGAAUGGCGAUGGAUACUGGCGCGCUAGAGUGCGGUAGAGGAGAGUGGAAUUCCCGGUGUAGCAGUGAAAUGCGUAGAGAUCGGGAGGAACAUCAGUUGCGAAGGCGGCUCUCUGGACCAACACUGACACUGAGGCACGAAAGCGUGGGGAGCAAACAGG